GGCGCCCCCCGCCCGCGCGGCACCGCUCCCCCGCCGCCCGCCACCGCCCGGCCCGGCGCCGCGCACCCCGGCCGCGCCCCGCCGCGGGAAGCCGCUCUCCCUCCCUGCGGCACCCACCUGCCGGCUCCCGCACCCGGCAGGGCCCUCGCCCCCUCCCCGUGCCCGACGUGCCUCGUAGCAGCGAUGUUCUUAACGUGGAAGGGAGGAAUGUCACCCAAGGGACGAGUUAUUAUUUUAUUAGUUAAAGUUAAUGCAGCGGUUUAAGCUGAUGAACUGGGUUCUCCAAAGCCCGGGGUGUCCUAAAGUUGCGUUUUUAAACUUUUCCUUACAAUGACGGCAGCAAGCCUCAAGAGAGUUAAAAGGCAUGAGAGAACACAAGAAAGGAACUAGUGAUCAAAGAUCCCAUUUUUCAGAUGCCAAGUCUUAUAGGAGAGCAUCAGAGUAUCUCAAUAAAUUGCAUCAAAAAUUUGUAUAGACAAUGGCUUAGGGCUGUACAGCUAAAAAGUAAAUACAGGAAAAGAAUCAAAGAAUCACAGUUAUGUUCCACACUCAUGUUUCUCUUCUACCUCAGCCUAAAAAAUUUACAAACUGUCCUGAAAAUCUAAAUUAAGAAUUUUUCAAAGUAAAAUGAAUAAUAAUAAGAAGAUAGAUGCUGAAAAUAAAAGGGAAAGGGAGACUCCACAAACAGAAUACUAAAAGUUUAUAAAACUCUUUGCCCCAGGAUGUGCCCACUCCAAAAGAAUGGGUGAGUUUGUGAACGGAUGGACAAAUCAGUAGGAAAAAACACCCAAGAUUUAACUACGCAGGCAGCCUGUCUGACCUGAAAUGUUCCUGUACCACAAAUCUCUGUAAGCCAGGGAUGGGUUGAAGCAUAUCCCUGAAUAGUUGCCUGUUUUUUCCUUCUCAUGCCAUACUGCAAUAUUAGAUAAUGAUAAGUGACCAGCUAACCCAGUUACCCAGACUGGCCUGCAUGGACUUUGGACACACACUCACCUUCUGACAAUCUUAUACUGCACUUCUGAGUGGCAUGAUACUGUUUUAUUUGUAGCAGAAAACUCCAGGAACUGCUGCUCACUGUCAAGAAGGAAGAGAACUGAUUUGAUUUGUAACCUAAUGUGAAGCAUUUGGCUCUGCCAAGUACAUGUAUUCCAUGUAAAAGUAGCACUAGGUAAACAGAUGCUCAUCAAGCUCUUCACCAAGACAGCGUUCAAAACAGCCCCGCAUCCAGGCUGCGAGAGAUGCAGAAAGACACAGACUCUGCUGGAAUCUUGGGACACUUAGGCAGAGGGCAGAGCAGACACAACAUGCUGGCUUACUGGUAUGGGUCACCCCGGGGUCCUGCUGACUCAGAGAUUGGGACAUACCUGAAGCCAGGAGGGAUAUGAAUUGAUUUAUCUUAAGGAACAAACAGCAGCUCUUCACUAGCGUGGGCCUGUAUUGCUCAAAACACUUCAAAGCACAUUCAGCAGUAGUUCAGCUGUGUAAAUUCAUCUUCCUAAAAAAGCCUUGCUGUUUGGAGGGUUUGUUCAUCUGUGGUGGGCAGGCAGGUGUGAGUCCCGCCUGACACUGCUUUCAGGGCACACAGAAACUUCUCCCUCUUGCCCUUCAGGAAGGUCAGAGGCUUCAGCAGCCCACAUGAACCUGUGAGCUCCCUUCUGAUUUUGUACUGGUCCUCAUUGUCUGACGUGGAAUUCAGUGCCUCAAUCUUUCAGGAAUUCAAUUCUCUGAUAGCUUCUGAACUUCAGUUUGGCAAUGAAUUCAAUGCUGAAUAAAUGAAUUCCUGCUUACUUAUCUUGCUGAAUCAAGACCUUAGGAUACAGCAGGUUCCUAGAAUUACUUGGCUGACUCUGGAAGGAAACUUCUUCAAAUUCUGCAAAUAUUUUCAGCAGUAUUUGCCUUUGGGUUAAUUAAAUGAAGAUGAAAUUCAGGGUUUGAACUGCAGGAAUGACACAGUCCCCAACUACAGAAGACAAUGGCGCUCCUUAACAGCAUCUGUCUUCUGAAGCAAAAUUUCAGAAGCUUUUAUUUUCCUCCUGUAAAUCCUGAACAGAAGUCUCUGACCUUGUAAUUAAGUUUUAUUACAACAGCCAAAACUUUUAGUCAGGAUCUUCGUGCUGCCCCCACAAAUGGUGUCUAUGAGUAGCAGCAAACAGAUAAGGAACUGAGUAACAGCUUUAAUAACAACCCCAACAGAGAUUUUAAAUCAACAGUUUUCAAAUGCUGUUAACAGGUCAACAGGUCUUCUAGACAUUGUGUUGACAGGAGGUUUAUUGACUGAAGCCCCUAUUGAUCUGGAAACAUCUAAUUGAUCUCAGUGUCAUAUUUUGUGAAAUACAAAUUUGGAAUAUCUUUUAUUUCCCUUUUCUGAUGCUUACAGAGCAGGUUUACUGCAUUGUCAGUAAGAGGCUUUAGUGCCAAGGGAUUAUGCUCACAGGAUCACAGAGUGAUGCAGGGCGGUGCUGAGGAAAAAAAAGUAAUUCCCGUCCUUGUAGAAACCAGUGGAAAAUUACAGCAUUCUUUAGAUGAACUGACCUCUAGUUGAAAUAGCUGAUAAACAAUGCCCUGACCUCCAUUUUAGUCCCAGCACAUGGAUUUGAGUCUAAUGCAGUUGCUGUCACUGUGACUUUAUGAGUAAAUGUUGCAGGUAUUUCAGCCUGUAGCAGUCAGAGAGGGAUGACUGUAGAAAAUCCGUGUUUGUAUGUAUGCCUUCCUCUGAGCGUGUCUUCCUGGGAGUGUGCCACCCCAAGGCCUUUCUUUCUUCCUGGUUGCUUCAAGUUGAAGCCAGCUCUCUGAAAGCAGCAUCAUCAGGGUGAAGUCAAGUAGGAUGUGGAAAGUGGGACAAUUUUGGCCACCCACCUCAUGAAAGAUGUUAAGAAACGGGAGGGAGCCAGAGUGAAAGGCUAUCAAGGUUCUAGUGCACAGAACCACUGAGGAGAGGCUGAAGAGCUGAGAUUGCUGUAUCUGAUGAAGAGGAGCAUCUGAGCAUGCAUCUGAGCAUCUGAUGAAGAGAAGGUCAAAGGCAGUUGAACAGCAGCCUAUGAUUUCAUGAUCAAGAGCUACAAUGACAUCAGAACCAAACUCUUCCCAGUGGUGACAGCAGGUGCAAGAGGGGGCAAUGGCAGCAAGAUGAGUGUUCAGCUUGGCCAUUAGGAAACAAAAUGCCCACCUGGAGUGUAGAGCAGCCUGGGUACAGGUUGCUUUGAGAGCUGGAGGAAACCCUAUCUCUGGAGGUUUCCAAGCCUUGACCAGACAAAAUCCACUUUGACCUGCUCCAGCACUGAUCAUAGUCUGGCCUUGGAGUGAGAUGGGUGAUCCACAGGGCCCCUCUAAACAACGCUUUAACACCUAAAACAUGUAUUUGUUCCCUCAAAACACUUAAUGUACAGUUCUUCAUGUUGUCCCUCAUUUAGCCAAUCCCUCCUGAAUGGGGAGAGGAAGAAUAUAUUUUUUUUUUUUUUUCAAGUGAAGGAUCCUA